rnacentral:rRNA from 1 species
UGAUUAAAUUAAUAAGGGCGCAUGGUGGAUGCCUUGGCACUAGGAGCUGAUGAAGGACGCGGCAAACGGCGAUACGCCUCGGGGAGCUGUUAAGCAAGCUUCGAUCCGGGGAUUUCCGAAUGGGGUAACCCACCUACGGUAAUGCGUAGGUACUGCAUAAUGAACACAUAGUUAUGCAGGAGCAACCCGGUGAACUGAAACAUCUUAGUAACCGGAGGAAAAGAAAGAAAUAUCGAUUUCCUGAGUAGUGGCGAGCGAAAAGGAAAGAGCCCAAACCAGUCAUUGGACUGGGGUUGUAGGACCCAACAUUAAGGAGUUACAAAAUUAUUGUAUAGCUGAAUUAGCUGGAAAGCUAAACCGCAGAAGGUGAUAGUCCUGUAAGCGAAAUACAAUAAUCUCCGUUGGGUAUCCUGAGUACGACGGGGCACGUGGAACCUUGUCGGAAGCAGCGGGGACCAUCCCGUAAGGCUAAAUACUCCCUAGUGACCGAUAGUGAACCAGUACCGUGAGGGAAAGGUGAAAAGAACCCCGGGAGGGGAGUGAAAUAGAACCUGAAACCAUGUGCUUACAAGAAGUCAGAGCCCGUUAAUGGGUGAUGGCGUGCCUUUUGCAGAAUGAACCGGCGAGUUACUGUAUCAUGCGAGGUUAAGUCGAAGAGAUGGAGCCGUAGGGAAACCGAGUCUGAAUAGGGCGACAUAGUAUGAUGCAGUAGACCCGAAACCGAGUGAUCUAUCCAUGAGCAGGUUGAAGUUUGGGUGAAACCAAAUGGAGGACCGAACCGACUUGUGUGGAAAAACAAGCGGAUGACUUGUGGAUAGCGGUGAAAUUCCAAUCGAACUCGGAGAUAGCUGGUUCUCCCCGAAAUAGGUUUAGGCCUAGCCUUGAACAAUAGCCCUUUGGAGGUAGAGCACUGAAUACACGAUGGCGGCACCUAGCCGUACUGAGUGUAAUCAAACUCCGAAUGCCAAAGUGGUUUGUUCAGGAGUCAGUGCAUGGGUGAUAACGUCCUUGCACGCGAGGGAAACAACCCAGAUCGCCAGCUAAGGUCCCUAAAUAUAUGCUAAGUGGGAAAGGUUGUGGAGUUGUCAAAACAGCUAGGAGGUUGGCUUAGAAGCAGCCAUCCUUUAAAGAGUGCGUAAUAGCUCACUAGUCGAGUGACACUGCGCCGAAGAUGUACCGGGGCUAAGCAUAUUACCGAAGCUGCGAAUUUUACUAUACAGUUUAUGUGUAGUAAAGUGGUAGGGGAGCGUUCUAAGGGCACUGAAGGUAGACCGUGAGGACUGCUGGAGCGCUUAGAAGUGAGAAUGCCGGUAUGAGUAGCGAAAGACA